rnacentral:misc_RNA from 1 species
UCCGGUUUGUCACCGGCAGUCUCCCUAGAGUGCCCUUGCGUAGCAACUAGGGACAAGGGUUGCGCUCGUUGCGGGACUUAACCCAACAUCUCACGACACGAGCUGACGACAGCCAUGCACCACCUGUGCACGAGCCCCGAAGGGCUGCCGUGUUUCCACGACAUUCCCGUGCAUGUCAAGCCUAGGUAAGGUGGGGAUGACGUCGCACGCAAUAACA